CCUACGGGAGGCAGCAGUGGGGAAUAUUGGACAAUUGGGGCAACCCUGAUCCAGCCAUGCCGCGUGUGUGAAGAAGGCCCUCGGGUUGUAAAGCACUUUCAGUGAGGAAGAACGCCUGGUGGUUAAUACCCAUCAGGAAAGACAUCACUCACAGAAGAAGCACCGGCUAACUCCGUGCCAGCAGCCGCGGUAAUACGGAGGGUGCGAGCGUUAAUCGGAAUUACUGGGCGUAAAGCGCGCGUAGGUGGCUUGAUAAGCCGGUUGUGAAAGCCCCGGGCUCAACCUGGGAACGGCAUCCGGAACUGUCAAGCUAGAGUGCAGGAGAGGAAGGUAGAAUUCCCGGUGUAGCGGUGAAAUGCGUAGAGAUCGGGAGGAAUACCAGUGGCGAAGGCGGCCUUCUGGACUGACACUGACACUGAGGUGCGAAAGCGUGGGUAGCAAACAGGAUUAGAUACCCCUGUAGUC
rnacentral:rRNA from 1 species